rnacentral:rRNA from 1 species
AACGUAGGGGGCAAGCGUUGCCCGGAUUCACUGGGCGUAAAGCGCGUGUAGGCGGUCUGUUAAGUCGGAUGUGAAAUCUCCGGGCUUAACCCAGAAAUUGCAUCCGAUACUGGCAGACUUGAGGACGGUAGAGGUUGGUGGAAUUCCCGGUGUACCGGUGAAAUGGACAGAUAUCGGGAGGAACACCAGUGGCGAAGGCGGCCAACUGGGCCGAUCCUGACGCUGAGACGCGAAAGCCAGGGGAGCGAACCGGAUUAGAAACCCCCGUAGUCC